rnacentral:lncRNA from 11 species
UUACUUCUCAGGAUGCAACUGAUGCAGUUGAUGGGAAUCUGUUUCCCUGUUCAUUGGAAAGCAUCAGUCUGAUAUCCCCACCCACCUUCGCAUGAGCUGUGUAAGGAAUAAAUGCAACAGUGCAGUCCUGAUAUUGCAAAGCAGAGGAAGACCUCACAAGAAUACCGACAUUGUGUGACUUCUCAAU